UACAUGUGGGGCAAGCGUUGUUCGGAUUUACUGGGCGUAAAGCGCACGUAGGCGGAUCGAUCAGUCAGGGGUGAAAUCCCAGAGCUCAACUCUGAAACUGCCUUUGAUACUGUCGAUCUGGAGUAUGGAAGAGGUGAGUGGAAUUCCGAGUGUAGAGGUGAAAUUCGUAGAUAUUCGGAGGAACACCAGUGGCGAAGGCGGCUCACUGGUCCGGUACUGACGCUGAGGUGCGAAAGCGUGGGGAGCAAACAGG
rnacentral:rRNA from 1 species